CCGACCUUAGCUCAAUUGGUAGAGCGGAGGACUGUAGAUCCUUAGGUCGGUCACUGGUUCGAAUUCAGUAGGUCGAA